rnacentral:pre_miRNA from 1 species
AGUAAAUGCUGCUGUGAAAAUCCGUGUCCAAUGUUUGACCGUCCAUCUUAUUUGAAAAAUUUAUAAAUUUUUUUUAAAAAAAUUAGUCACACAUAAAGUAUUAUUCAUGUUUUAUCAUCUAAUAACAAUAAAAAUAAUAAUCAUAAAAAAAUUUCAAAUAAGACGAACAGUCAAACGUUGGAGAUGAAUAGUGCAAAACUUAUU